rnacentral:rRNA from 1 species
UUUGGAGAAGGCUAUGUUGGCCGGGCGACGGUUGUCCCGGUUUAAGCGUGUAGGCUGGUUUUCCAGGCAAAUCCGGAAAAUCAAGGCUGAGGCGUGAUGACGAGGCACUACGGUGCUGAAGCAACAAAUGCCCUGCUUCCAGGAAAAGCCUCUAAGCAUCAGGUAAUAUCAAAUCGUACCCCAAACCGACACAGGUGGUCAGGUAGAGAAUACCAAGGCGCUUGAGAGAACUCGGGUGAAGGAACUAGGCAAAAUGGUGCCGUAACUUCGGGAGAAGGCACGCUGAUAUGUAGGUGAAGCGACUUGCUCGUGGAGCUGAAAUCAGUCGAAGAUACCAGCUGGCUGCAACUGUUUAUUAAAAACACAGCACUGUGCAAACACGAAAGUGGACGUAUACGGUGUGACGCCUGCCCGGUGCCGGAAGGUUAAUUGAUGGGGUUAGCGCAAGCGAAGCUCUUGAUCGAAGCCCCGGUAAACGGCGGCCGUAACAAUAACGGUCCUAAGGUAGCGAAAUUCCUUGUCGGGUAAGUUCCGACCUGCACGAAUGGCGUAAUGAUGGCCAGGCUGUCUCCACCCGAGACUCAGUGAAAUUGAACUCGCUGUGAAGAUGCAGUGUACCCGCGGCAAGACGGAAAGACCCCGUGAACCUUUACUAUAGCUUGACACUGAACAUUGAGCCUUGAUGUGUAGGAUAGGUGGGAGGCUUUGAAGUGUGGACGCCAGACUGCAUGGAGCCGACCUUGAAAUACCACCCUUUAAUGUUUGAUGUUCUAACGUUGACCCGUAAUCCGGGUUGCGGACAGUGUCUGGUGGGUAGUUUGACUGGGGCGGUCUCCUCCUAAAGAGUAACGGAGGAGCACGAAGGUUGGCUAAUCCUGGUCGGACAUCAGGAGGUUAGUGCAAUGGCAUAAGCCAGCUUGACUGCGAGCGUGACGGCGCGAGCAGGUGCGAAAGCAGGUCAUGGUGAUCCGGUGGUUCUGAAUGGAAGGGCCAUCGCUCAACGGAUAAAAGGUACUCCGGGGAUAACAGGCUGAUACCGCCCAAGAGUUCAUAUCGACGGCGGUGUUUGGCACCUCGAUGUCGGCUCAUCACAUCCUGGGGCUGAAGUAGGUCCCAAGGGUAUGGCUGUUCGCCAUUUAAAGUGGUACGCGAGCUGGGUUUAGAACGUCGUGAGACAGUUCGGUCCCUAUCUGCCGUGGGCGCUGGAGAACUGAGGGGGGCUGCUCCUAGUACGAGAGGACCGGAGUGGACGCAUCACUGGUGUCCGGGUUGUCAUGCCAAUGGCACUGCCCGGUAGCUAAAUGCGGAAGAGAUAAGUGCUGAAAGCAUCUAAGCACGAAACUUGCCCCGAGAUGAGUUCUCCCUGACUCCUUGAGAGUCCUGAAGGAACGUUGAAGACGACGACGUUGAUAGGCCGGGUGUGUAAGCGCAGCGAUGCGUUGAGCUAACCGGUACUAAUGAACCGUGAGGCUUAACCU